GGAGGGGCUGAAGAGUUGUGACGGGGUGUGAAGUGCAGGGUCACAUCAGAGCAAAGCGUGGGCGGGAUAGAUGGAGUGCGUGUACUGUGGUGUUAGGGCGAAGUGGAGGGCUGUUAAAAGGCAACGACUGAUUCCCGAGCGAGUUUGCGAGCCAUCCUAAUUUGAUUACGACAUGAUUGUCUGUGAGGGCGAGCCAGCCAAUACUUGAACGGCAUUAUGGAGUAUUUUUUCUGACCCGCUAUCUUCACUUUCGAGCAGUGAUCAACCUAAACGAGGAAAUCUUUGUCGUAGAUAUGGGACCAUUUUGAGAUUGUCGUUGGCUGCCCACUGUGCGUUGAAUGCUUGUUGGACAAUGCUUAAAAUGUGAAUUUGUAAGCUCAAUUGACCUUAAGUGGUGCACUUGCCUUUCACCUUGAGGUUACCUAGAAGAUUGAUAUGGGUGGCCAUGCUAUGUGCAACUAGAUGUAAACAUUACACAAUACAUGAGCAUUGAUCCAGCAUAACAUCAUGGUCUACAACUGCUCCAAAGUGCUAAAAGAUUUGAUGCUUUGGAUUGCAGAUGAAAAACAAUCAUUUGGUGUCAUUGAAAAACUAUAAUUCAAAAAUCUUUGGCGGAUUUUGAAUCCGCCUAAGACACUAUGUUGACACUACAAAGUCUUGCAUCAUUGCAUAUCAAGGAGGGUGUUGAAGAAUGAGUUUAUUGGCACAAGCUCAAAAUUCUCAGCUAUUUUCAGCUAGAUGAUAUCAUGUCUCAUUUUGAGCUCACUUUGGAUUGCUGAUUGUUGAGUGUGUUAAGUGGCUACAUUGCCAUCACCAUUCAUUUGGUUAAUAAAGAUUGGAACUUGUAUUUUGCAAUGUUGGCAUUUAAA